AGUGUGAGUCUAUUUCUGGACUCUCUAUUCGUUCCCAUUGAUCCACAUACCCAUCCUAUGCCAGUACCACAGUGUCUUGGUUAAUGUAGCCUUACAGUAAGUUUGAGAUCAGAUAGUGUAAGUCUUCUAAUUUUUUUUUUCAAAAUAUUUUGGUUAUUCUAGGUCCUUUGCAUCUCCAAAUAUGUUUGCCAAUUGGCUUGGGAGUUUCUACAAGAAAUCUGCUGGGAUUUUGAUUGGGAUUACAAUGAAUUUGUAGGUUAACUUGUGGAGAAAUGGCAUCUUAACAAGACUGAACCUUCCAAAGCAUUAACAUGAAAAGAAAAGUGAACUUACUGAGGCAUUUGCCAUAGGAAAGUCUGAGGAGGUAAUUGGAAUGAAGAGGAGGGGCAGAGGCGUGACAUCAUACGUGUAGAUUAUGAAAGGCAGAGGAGUUUCUGAGAGGUUGUGGCUGUUGGAGAAUGGGAGAGAGGAAUGUUGUUCCAGAAGGUACGACAAAUCUGAAGUACAAGUGUGCAUGAGCUAUGGCUUCCAAGAGACAAGGAAAAUUGGCGAGUGGUGAGAGAGAGAGAGAGCACAAGUAGGGGGAGCAGGCAGAGGGAGAAACAGGCUCCCCACUGAACAAGAAGCCCAAUGUGGGGCUGGAUCCCAGGACCACAGGAUCAUGACCUGAGCUGAAUGACUGAGCCACCCAGGCACCCCUCUACCAAAGGAUAAUUUCACAAGAUAUAGAAUUUUAGGAUAUAUAGCCGCAGGGGAGGAGAUGAGAAAACUCUACUGGAACCUGGUUCUGUUUAACAGAUUAAAUUCAAACUUGCUUUUAAAAAGAAAGAGCUUGCGAUAUUUUAUUCAGGUUCAGCAAUGGAAGCAACAUCAGAGUAGAAGCCUGCCUUACGGAAAGAAUUUUGAAUUUUGUAAUUAGAAACUCCUAAAUAAAGCUUUGGAACAGAAUCUGAUUUGUCCAUGGGGAGCUUUUGUGUUUGUUUGUUUUAAUUUAUUCAUAUGUUUGUCGAUUCAUGCAGCAAUCACGGGCUGCCACCGCCAUCUGCGCUAGA